GACGAACGCUGGCGGCGUGCUUAACACAUGCAAGUCGAACGGAAAGGCCCUGCUUUUGUGGGGUGCUCGAGUGGCGAACGGGUGAGUAACACGUGAGUAACCUGCCCUUGACUUUGGGAUAACUUCAGGAAACUGGGGCUAAUACCGGAUAGGAGCUCCUGCUGCAUGGUGGGGGUUGGAAAGUUUCGGCGGUUGGGGAUGGACUCGCGGCUUAUCAGCUUGUUGGUGGGGUAGUGGCUUACCAAGGCUUUGACGGGUAGCCGGCCUGAGAGGGUGACCGGCAACAUUGGGAAGGAGAUACGCCCCAGCCUCCGAGGGGGGGCGGAAGGGGGAAAUUUUGCACAGGGGGGGGAGCCUGGAGCCAGCACCGCCGCGGGGGGGAGGGGGGCUUUCGGUUGGAAAACCGCUUCCGCCGGGGACGAAGGGGGGGGGAGGUAAUGGGGUAAAGAACCCCGGACUAGCUACGUG
rnacentral:rRNA from 1 species